GAUGAACGCUGGCGGCGUGCCUAAUACAUGCAAGUCGAGCGAAUGGAUUAAGAGCUUGCUCUUAUGAAGUUAGCGGCGGACGGGUGAGUAACACGUGGGUAACCUGCCCAUAAGACUGGGAUAACUCCGGGAAAACGGGGCUAAUACCGGAUAACAUUUUGAACCGCAUGGUUCGAAAUUGAAAGGCGGCUUCGGCUGUCACUUAUGGAUGGACCCGCGUCGCAUUAGCUAGUUGGUGAGGUAACGGCUCACCAAGGCAACGAUGCGUAGCCGACCAGAGAGGGGUAUCGGCCACACUGGGACUGAGACACGGCCCAGACUACUACGGGAGGCAGCAGUAGGGAAUCUUCCGGAAUGGACGAAAGUCUGACGGAGCAAAGCCGCGUGAGUGAUGAAGGCUUUCGGGUCGUAAAACUCUGUUGUUAGGGAAGAACAAGUGCUAGUUGAAUAAGCUGACACCUUGACGGUACCUAACCAGAAAGCCACGGCUAACUACGUGCCAGCCGCCGCAGUAA
rnacentral:rRNA from 1 species